AUCUAAAUAGCUUAAAAUAGAGCGUAAUAUUGAAGAUAUUGAGGUAAAAUUUUUUUUUAGAUA
rnacentral:tRNA from 1 species